CACCUGCUUUGGGAGCAGGGGGUCACAAGUUCGAAUCUUGUUACCCCGACGA
rnacentral:tRNA from 1 species